CGGCCUGAGGUCGGACGAGGCUACCCGCUGAAUUUAAGCAUAUUACUAAGCGGAGGAAAAGAAACUAACGAGGAUUCCCUCAGUAACGGCGAGUGAAGCGGGACGAGCCCAGCGCCGAAUCCGGCCGCUUAU
rnacentral:ncRNA from 1 species